rnacentral:rRNA from 1 species
GGCCCGUCCUAUCCUGGAGCUGAAGAAGGUUCCAAGGGUUUGGCUGUUCGCCAAUUAAAAGGGCACGCGAGCUGGGUUCAGAACGUCGUGAGACAGUUCGGUCUCCUAUCUACUAUGGGCGUUGAAAUUUGAGAGGGCCGUUUCCUAGUACGAGAGGACCGGAAACGACUGACCUCUGGUGUACCAGCUGUUCUGCCAAGAGCAUCACUGGGUAGCUAAGUCGGGUUAAGAUAAACGCUGAAAGCAUAUAAGCGUGAAGCUGUCCUCAAGAUUAGAUUUCAUUAAGACCGCUUGUAGAUGACAAGCUUGAUAGGCUCUAGGUGUAAGUGUAGCAAUACAUUCAGCCGAGGAGUACUAAUGGUUUACGUAUGU